GGGAGUAAUAAUCAAACUAUACAUAUCAUAUGUAUAAUUAUGUACAUUCUGUGUAAAUCAUAUGCAUAAGAAAUGCAAUCCAAUCUAUAGAAAUGCUCAGAGCAAAAGCUUACAAUACAGAAACAUGAACUGCAUCAGUUAACAACUAAAAGAGCAAAAGUUGGGCAAAAUAAAUCUAUAUAAAGCUCUCAUGUACAAAAAAUCAUAAGCGGGUCUCUCAAUCCCAAUAGGUGAAACUAUUAUAACGGAAUUCAUACCUUGCAGUCUUGCACAGGAAUGCGAUUCUCGUCCACUUUAGAUGAUCUUCAUGCUGAAUCAGAAUAUUCAAUCAUUUCUCUGCUUGGAACAAGACAAGACUUCAUUGGACAGGAAGAAGGUGUUGGAAACAGUUUGAACAGAAGCUUGCCGUCGGCUCGGACUCGGCCCAGAUAGGUGCAACCUUUCAUAAAACUGCUUCGGGCCCAAAAGUUGUGUCCCUUGAUGAAACUGUUUCAAGCCCAAGUGUCUGUUCACUUAGUUUUCUCUUGCUAUAAAUACCUUGUCAGUGUCUGCAUUAUUCAUUCAUUCGAAAAACAUCAUAUUCAUUAUCAUUCAUUGUUUGUGUUUGUGUCCUUGAGAGAGUUACAUCACUGAACUGGUUCGCCGUCUUCGUUUUGUUUGAAGUGCUGCUACACGACGAAGGUAUUGAUCGUUGUAUCCUGGGAGACAGUUUGCAUUACACCCAUACAGCACCUGUUGGGGCAAAUUAUGUCUUAAGGACAGAGAUUUUCUCGACUCGAUCACAUCAUACUGUCCUUAAUUACAGUUCUGGUUUGCAUACUUUAUUUAUUCUGUUUUACUUAGAAUUUUACUUAUGCAUUACUAACAUAUUGCCCAACAUUCUUAAGACAUAACCAUAUGUUAGUAUUUUGGUUUACUGUUCUAAUAUUUUAAAACAGGAUAUAUUAAGUAUUAGUCAGAUUUCGAAAAUUAUUAUAUUUUCAGAAAUUUGAACCUUUUGUUCUAUAUUUUUUUACUGUUUAUAUCCGAAAUUUUUGUUUUUCGGAAUUUUGUUACUGUUUAACAAAUUUAUUUGCAGAUUGAGGUUAUUUUUCGAUACAGUUCGAAAAUUUUGAAUUUUUUUCGAAAAUUUUAUAAUUUUCUUAUUGCAGACACAAGUAUAGGAAAUAAAAUUUUCUGGUUGUUUAACUUGUUUGAAUAUUUUGUUUCAGACAAAUGGAAGAGUCACAAACUCAUAUCCCCGCGAACAAUGGAACUAUCAAUGGAAGUUCAGCUACCAAUACUGUUCCUACUGUUGCUGUUCCUACUGCCCUUCCAACAGUUCCUACCCAUGUUACUGUUGGGGAAACAACGGAACAGACUUUAAGAGGUGGCAGCAGAAGAUGCUGUUUUACCUUACAACUCUGAAUCUCGCUAAGUUCCUGUACGAACUACUUCCAAAGCAAGAUGGAGGCGAAUCUGAUCGCCAAACUGUUGCUGCUAUAGAUGCUUGGAAACAUGGAGAUUUCCUUUGCCGAAACUAUAUCCUAAACGGACUGGACAACACACUCUACAAUGUGUACAGUCCAUUCAAAACAUCCAAAGAACUCUGGGAAUCUUUGGAUAAGAAGUACAAAGCCGAGGAUGCUGGUUCAAAGAAGUUUGUGGUCGGCAGGUUCCUUGAUUUUAAGAUGGUGGACUCCAAGACUGUAAUCAGUCAGGUCCAAGAACUCCAACUUAUUCUGCAUGAAAUUCAUGCAGAAAACCUUACUUUGUGUGAACCCUUUCAGGUGGCUUCUGUUAUUGAGAAGUUACCCCCUUCAUGGAAGGAUUUUAAGAACUAUCUUAAACACAAACGUAAGGAGAUGGGCUUGGAAGAUCUGAUUCUCCGGCUUCGCAUAGAAGAAGACAACCGUACUUCUGAAAAAAAUAUUGUCGUUGUUUCUGAAGAUGCCAAAGCCAAUGUUGUGGAACAUGGGAAAAAGAACAAAAAGCGCAAAUCUUCUGACCAAGGUUCCAAUAACAAGCAAUCCACCAAGAAAUUCAAAGGAAAGUGUUUCAACUGUGGCAAGUCAGGUCAUCGCCAAAGUGACUGCCGAAGCAAGAAGAAAGAUGACAAGAAAGAAAAGAAUCCCGCUCAAGCAAAUCUGACUGAAGAAGACAGGAUGAUUGCUGACUUGGGCGUAAUCAACCUUUGUGCUAUGGUUUCGGAAGUGAACUUGGUUGACAAUCCAAGGGAAUGGUUCCUGGAUACUGGUGCAACCAAGCACAUUUGUUUAGAUAAGAGGAUGUUCACUACUUAUACUUUGAACCAUCAGAAUGAACAACUCUACAUGGGCAACUCAUCUACAUCGAAGGUAGAAGGUCAAGAAAAAAUUGUGCUGAAGAUGACUUCUGGAAAGGAAGUUAGCCUCAACAAUGUGUUGCAUGUUCCAGACAUUCGCAAGAAUCUGAUUUCUGGAUCACUCUUAAGCAAGAAUAGAUGGUGAUUGAAUCUGACAAGUUUGUACUCACUAAGGCUGGGAUGUAUGUGGGUAAAGGGUAUGUUAGCGAUGGGCUAUUCAAGCUCAAUGUAAUGACUGUUAUUCCAAAGAUUAAUAAGAAUAAUUCUUCUGCUUAUAUCGUUGAGUCUUUUAAUGUUUGGCAUGAACGUCUAGGACAUGUUAAUUAUAAUACUUUGCGUAGAUUAAUUAACAUGGAUAUGAUUCCACAUUGCAAUCCAAAAGCAUGUGAUAAAUGCGAAAUUUGUGUGGAAGCUAAACUUACCAAAACCCCACAUCAUUCGGUCCAAAGAAGUACCGAACCUCUAGAUUUAAUUCACACUGACUUGUGUGAUUUAAAGUUUGUGCAAACUAGAGGUGGUAAAAAGUAUUUUGUUACUUUUAUUGACGACUGCACAAAGUUUUGCUAUGUUUAUUUGUUAACAAGCAAAGAUGAAGCUAUAGAAAAGUUUCAACAGUAUAAACUUGAGGUUGAAAAUCAACUUGGCAAGAAAAUCAAGAUUGUAAGGAGCGAUCGAGGAGGUGAAUAUGAUAAACCAUUUAAUGACUUUUGUGCUGAAAAUGGAAUCAUACACCAAACUACGGCUCCAUACUCUCCUGAAUCUAAUGGUACUGCUGAACGCAAGAACCGAACAUUGAAAGAGAUGAUGAAUGCUUUGUUGUUAAAUUCAGGGUUACCCCAGAACAUGUAGGGGGAAGCCAUUCUUACUGCGAAUUAUAUUCUCAAUAAGAUACAUCAUAAGAAAACCGGCAAGACACCAUAUGAAUUAUGGAAAGGUCAAACACCUUCUUAUAAAUUCAUAAAAGUGUGGGGGUGUUUAGCCAAGGUUGCGGUCCCACCUCCUAAACAAGUGAAGAUUGGACCUAAAACUGUUGAUUGCAUUUUUAUAGGCUAUGCUCAUAAUAGUAGUGCUUAUCGGUUUUUAGUUCACAAAUCUAAUUUUCCUGAUGUUCAGGUCAAUACUAUUAUGGAAUCAAGAAAUGCACAUUUCUUUGAAACUGUAUUUCCUUGUCAAGAUGCUGAGCAUCGAAAGAGAACACGUGAAAACGCUCCAAGAGUUGAGCAAGAAACUACAGAUAAUAUUGUGCCAAGGGAUGAACAUCAGAAUGAGGAUGAACCUAGGCGAAGUAAACGAGCUAGAAAAACGAAGGCAUAUGGUCCUGAUUUUCUAACAUAUCUUGUGGAGACAUAUGGUCCUCAAUUCAUGACUUUCUUAGUGGACAAUGAUCCAUUAACUUUUAAAGAGGCCAUGUCUACUCAAGAUGUUCCCCAGUGGAAGGAAGCAAUUAAAAGCGAAAUUGAUUCCAUAAUGCAAAACCACACAUGGGAGCUAACCACACUUCCUCCUGGAACAAAAUGUUUAGGUUCCAAAUGGAUAUUCAAAAAGAAGAUGAGAACAGAUGGUUCAAUAGACAAAUACAAAGCCAGACUUGUAGUCAAAGGUUACAGGCAGAAACAAGGCUUGGAUUUCUUUGACACUUACUCUCCAGUAACGAGAAUAACGUCUAUUCGAACGCUUCUUGCGAUUGCUGCUAUACACAACCUUGAAAUACAUCAAAUGGAUGUUAAAACCGCUUUCCUAAAUGGCGAUUUAGAGGAAGAAAUCUAUAUGCAACAACCUGAAGGUUUUGUUGCUCCUGGACAGGAGAAUAAGGUGUGUAGACUUGUAAAAUCAUUAUAUGGUUUAAAACAAGCCCCGAAGCAAUGGCAUGAAAAAUUUGAUAAUGUAAUGUUGUCAAGUGGUUUCAAAAUAAACGAAUGUGACAAAUGUGUUUACACUAAGUCCACUCAAACUGGAUACGCUAUUGUAUGUCUCUAUGUAGAUGACAUGCUGAUUUUUGGUAGCAACAAUGACAUCAUUAAUGCUACUAAGAACAUGCUUCGCAGUAAGUUUGAUAUGAAGGAUAUGGGAAUUGCUGAUGUUAUACUAGGGAUUAAAAUCACUAGAACAUCAGAUGGAAUUGCACUAUCGCAAUCCCACUACAUUGAGAAGGUUCUUGAAAAAUUCAAGAAACACUCUACUGGAAUUGCCAAAACUCCAGAAGAUCCCAAUCUUCAUUUAACUAAGAAUACUGGGGCUAGCAUAUCACAAAUAGAAUAUGCUCGUGUCAUUGGCAGUUUGAUGUAUACCACAAAUUGCACUAGACCAGACAUGGUUCACGCUGUAAAUGUCCUAAGUCGUUACACGAGUAAUCCAGGGAAGAAUCACUGGAAGGCAAUAACCUGGGUAUUGAACUAUCUGAAAUAUACCUCAAGUUAUAAUCUGCACUACACUAGAUAUCCACCAGUAGUGGAAGGAUACUGUGAUGCUAAUUGGAUAUCAGAUAUUAAAAACUCAAAAGCCACGAGUGGCUAUGUUUUUACUCUGGGUGGUGCAGCGAUAUCUUGGAAAUCUUCUAAGCAAACAUGCAUUGCUAGAUCCACUAUGGAGGCUGAAUUCAUUGCUUUAGAUAAAGCGGGAGAAGAAGCAGAAUGGCUUCGAAAUUUCUUAGAGGAUAUCCCCAUGUGGGAAGAACCAGUGCCAGCUAUUCGUAUAAACUGCGAUAGUCAAUCUGCUAUAGGUAGGGCACUGAGUAGUAUGUAUAACGGUAAGUCUCAACACAUCAGACGAAGACACAAAACCGUUAGGAAACUGCUCUCAACUGGAAUAAUCUCUAUAGAGUAUAUUAAGUCGGCUGAAAACCUAGCGGAUCCAUUUACUAAAGGUUUGGCCCGAGAGCAAGUUCAAACUUCAUCGAGAGGAAUGGGUGUAAAACCUAAGACGAAAGAGUAGGCCUGAUGGCAACCCUACCUAGCUGACUGGAGAUCCCAAGAUCUAGGUUCAAUGGGACAACCGAAUCUCGCAUGACUCGACGAUAGCACUGUGAGAUUAAACAUCUCUUAUCCAUUCCUAUGAUGAUGAGACCAGUGCUGCCUGCAUUGAUGGACUAGGAUAAGCUUUUGCUUUUAAUGAUUCCCAUAGCUUGUAAAACAAGUGGAGUAUAGCAGAUUACUCUUCAUGGGCAAUCACCUUAUGAGUGAGAAAAAGGGGCCGUUUUCUGUGAGAAUGUUGAAGGUUGCAUUCUUUAAGAGCACUCAUGAAUACCAGGAAGUUCAAGGCCAAAAUGAACACAACCAUAGAACCAAGUUCUUUGAGGAAGCGAAACUGUGUGGUAGCCAUUGUCUUGGUUUACACAAACGGCUGAACAGUUCAAGACAUCAUGUUCACUGAUUAGCCAGUAAAUCCGAUGGUUAUCCACUAGGGUAGGUUCAAGGCUGAAAAAUUGCUACCUAUACCGAUGCAGCUACUUUCCGCUUGUACUCUCUCAGUUGCAUUGCAUUUGCAUAAAUCCGUAAUUUCCAUUCAUGCGGGGGAUUGUUGGAAACAGUUUGAACAGAUUCUGUCAGAAAUCUGACAAGGUCUUUGGCUGGACAUUUCGAUAUGUUCUAGAGCUCCAUUGAGCUAGAUCUUGGUACGUAUGGAAUCCUCGUUCCGAGUAGAUGCUCGCAGAAUAUUCAUACGUCUAAAACUAUUCCAUAUUGAAUGAGAAAUUGGUAUCCCAAGUUCCAAACAACUUGAGACAAAGCAAGGAAAAUGUGAUAGUCCCACAUUUGACCCAUGUAGAUAAGGUUUUGUCUAGAAAAACCCCUCAUGUACACUAAGGGUGUGGCCCUUGGGGUUACAAUGUUUUCGCGCGUUGGGCGUAACCUUACAUGGGCUUGGGCUUGAAAAACACACACGCGCGCGCGCGCCGUCCGUCCGUCCGACCGACCGGCUCGGACUUGGGCUUGGGCUUGGAUCUUGGUGAUCCAACAUAAUCUUUUUGGUAGAAAGGUUCAUUGGAAUAAAUCCCAAUAGGUGCAUACCUAUUCCGAACCGGUUUGCUACUGGUUCGGGCCCAAAAGUUGUGUCCCUUGAUGAAACUGUUUCAAGCCCAAGUGUCUGUUCACUUAGUUUUCUCUUGCUAUAAAUACCUUGUCAGUGUCUGCAUUAUUCAUUCAUUCGAAAAACAUCAUAUUCAUUAUCAUUCAUUGUCUGUGUUUGUGUCCUUGAGAGAGUUAUAUCACUGAACUGGUUCGCCGUCUUCGUUUUGUUUGAAGUGCUGCUACACGCCGAAGGUAUUGAUCGUUGUAUCCUGGGAGACAGUUUGCAUUACACCCAUACAGCACCUAUCGUUGUAUCCUGGGAGACAGUUUGCAUUACACCCAUACAGCACCUGUUGGGGCAAAUUAUGUCUUAAGGACAGAGAUUUUCUCAACUCGAUCACAUCAUACUGUCCUUAAUUACAGUUCUGGUUUGCAUACUUUAUUUAUUCUGUUUUACUUAGAAUUUUACUUAUGCAUUACUAACAUAUUGCCCAACAGAAGGGUGUUGUAAACCAGUUUCUCUAGAAGCUACCACAAUGGCACAAUGUAUCAACAGGAAUACCAGAUAAAUUGGUAGGUACAUGGCUUCAAACCGGAGGUAGACUUUGCCACUCUCUUAAUUGCGUCACAGGCCGC
rnacentral:lncRNA from 1 species